ACACAAGGCAAUCUGUCUUUAAGUAGGGUUAAAUUACUCUGGGGGCGGGGGAAACAGUGAAUCCUAGANAGUUUUCCCUUCAUAUCAAGUCCUGU
rnacentral:pre_miRNA from 1 species